CAAGAGUUGAGAUGAGAUGCUUCAGGACGGAAGCGCUCGUGUUAUCAGGAAGGGUCUCUCUCUCUCUUGACAGUUGUCACAGCUCCACCUCUCGUCGUCGGUUCGGGCUGUUUUUAGAAAAGUUGAGACAGGUUAAUGUGUUUCGUGAUCUGGUGACAACACAGACAAUGCAAUUUGUAUCCUUCUCAAGUCAAUGACUAGAGGUUAACAGAAAGCUAUAAGAGCAAAUGGUGUCUGUGAGGAUUGGAAUGAUGUUGGAAAUGUCACACUCAUUUCCCAGAGGUGAUCCACGUGCUUGGGAGGUGGAUUGUGGCAUUAACAGCGGUGUGAGGAAAGUGGGGAAUACAUAAUUUUUUACUUUUUUUGGGAGUGAGAAAUUCAUAACCUGCGAUUCAAUGUUCCACUGUCUGGUUUAAAUAUUUUCUUUUUUUUUAUUAAUAUGUACUUAACCCAAAGUAAA